GAUGAACGCUGGCGGCGUGCCUAAUACAUGCAAGUCGAGCGAAGGGACGAGAAGCGUGCGGCUCAGAUGUUAGCGGCGGACGGGUGAGUAACACGUGGAUAACCUACCUAUAAGACUGGGAUAACUUCGGGAAACCGGAGCUAAGACCGGAUGAUAUUUUGAACCGCAUGGUUCAAAAGUGAAAGAUGGUCUUGCGGUCACCUAUAGAUGGAUCCGCGCUGCAUUAGCUAGUUGGUAAGGUAACGGCUUACCAAGGAAACGAUGCAUAGCCGACCUGAGAGGGUGAUCGGCCACACUGGAACUGAGACACGGUCCAGACUCCUACGGGAGGCAGCAGUAGGGAAUCUUCCGCAAUGGGCGAAAGCCUGACGGAGCAACGCCGCGUGAGUGAUGAAGGUCUUCGGAUCGUAAAACUCUGUUAUUAGGGAAGAACAUAUGUGUAAGUAACUGUGCACAUCUUGACGGUACCUAAUCAGAAAGCCCCGGCUAACUACGUG
rnacentral:rRNA from 1 species